ensembl:lncRNA
ACAUCAUGUGUCAUUCACUGUGUGCAUGAACGCGCUGAUGACGUAUCGUGUCUGCGUGAAGAGGGUGCACAGAGGUAUGGAAAUACAUAUGUAUUACAUAUGUGUUGACAAGCAGGUGCGGUAUGGACUGAGACGGAGAGAUAUUCUGAAGAUGUCGGAUGGGGAGAGGAAAGAGAGAGACAGAUGCCAGGGUGUGUCAGUCCACACCAUGAGAUCCAAUCAAACUCAAUCACCCAGCUCUGACUAGUAAACAUGAAUACUCAGCCAAAUAAUUUAUGCAUCUAUGCCCACCUGAAUUUUUUUUAUCUGGUCCGCCUCAUUUUUACUCUGGACAAUACACACGAGGACGGCAGAAGAGCUCAGUUGAAGACUUUUUCUGGCUGAUGUAAUGCAGUCAUGAAUACUCUCUCUCU